rnacentral:rRNA from 1 species
CCUACGGGGGGCUGCAGUGGGGAAUAUUGGACAAUGGGGGGAACCCUGAUCCAGCCAUGCCGCGUGUGUGAAGAAGGCCCUCGGGUUGUAAAGCACUUUCAGUGAGGAAGAACGCCUGGUGGUUAAUACCCAUCAGGAAAGACAUCACUCACAGAAGAAGCACCGGCUAACUCCGUGCCAGCAGCCGCGGUAAUACGGAGGGUGCGAGCGUUAAUCGGAAUUACUGGGCGUAAAGCGCGCGUAGGUGGCUUGAUAAGCCGGUUGUGAAAGCCCCGGGCUCAACCUGGGAACGGCAUCCGGAACUGUCAAGCUAGAGUGCAGGAGAGGAAGGUAGAAUUCCCGGUGUAGCGGUGAAAUGCGUAGAGAUCGGGAGGAAUACCAGUGGCGAAGGCGGCCUUCUGGACUGACACUGCCACUGAGGUGCGAAAGCGUGGGUAGCAAACAGGAUUAGAUACCCGAGUAGUC